AGCUCUGUAAGCGUAUACCCAAGUUGUUGCAGUUAAAACGCUCGUAGUCGGAAUUUGGCGGGCGAGACGGGGCGUCUUCACGGAUGGGUCCGUCUUGGCCGCCUUUGUGGAGGGGGGCGUCGUGCUGCUUAAGUGCGGUACUGUCGUCGCUGCCACCGUUUACUGUGAAAAAAUUAGAGUGUUCAAAGCGGGCGUUUGCCAUGAAUACCUUAGCAUGGAAUAAUAGAAUAGGACCUGUGUUCUGUUUUGUUGGUUUGUGAGAACUGGGUAAUGAUUAAGAGGGACGGUUGGGGGCAUUUGUAUUCCGGCGUCAGAGGUGAAAUUCUUGGAUUGUCGGAAGACAAACGGCUGCGAAAGCGUCUGCCAAGGACGUUUUCA
rnacentral:rRNA from 1 species